rnacentral:rRNA from 1 species
UACACACCGCCCGUCACACCAUGGGAGUCAGUUGCUCUAGAAGUCGGUGCGCCAACCUCGGAGGCAGCCGCCUAGGGUAAAACUGGUGACUGGGGCU